ACUAAAGGCACGCGUGACUUGUUCACGCGUGCACGAACACUGGUGAAGGUAAUUAAAUUACCUUCACACAGUGUUCUUGUAACACUGAAUUACUUUUUGAAAUGAACAUGCAAAGGGGACGAAGUCAUACCUGCUUCUGGAGACCGAAGAUGCUUGCAGCGUUGCUGAUGAUUCUCGCCUACUGCUCCUCUGGUUUUCCUUCUGUGACCACUUGUCCGAAGACAAUUUCAAGGAUAAUUCUCCUCACUGUUUCCUGCCCUCUUGUUCUCUCUUUCUCUCUGUAUUUGGAUUUGUGCUCUGUUUUCUCUGCCUUUUUUUUUCUUAACUCUGUUUUUCUGGGUUGAUUUUUCGGCUCUCUGGUCUUUUCCCCAGUGUUCUUCCCCUCCUCCUUUUUCUCUGCUCUGCUCUGCCUUUUAUAGAGCUAGAGAGCAUGCAGAAACCCGUUCCCCUGUUAAUCAAUCCAUGAGCGGGAUCGUGGGCAAGAGAUCGUGGUGUAGUGGCCUUGAGUUGCUGGAUUUUUCCCUGUUGAAUCGGUCUUCUCCGUGCGAAACGAAAGGGAUGGUGAACGGUGGGAUCAAAACGGCGUCAUUUGGCAUGAAAAAAAUGACAGAUUAUGGAUUGGUCCCUUUCUGUUUGAAAUGUAUCAAUUGGGUCCUUUAAUCAAUAAAUUUUUAAUUUUACCCU